UCGACGAUGAUGCCCUGCUYGCAGGGUGGAUUAGUGGCGAACGGGUKAGUAAUCGUGGGUGAUCUGCCCCGCACUUCGGGAUAAGCCUGGGAAACUGGGUCUAAUACCGGAUACGACCCCCUGGUAGRUCAGGGGGUGGAAAGAUUUUAUCGGUGUGGGAUGAGCCUGCGGCCUAUCAGCUUGUUGGUGGGGUAAUGGCCUACCWAGGCGUCGACGGGUAGCCGGCCUGAGAGGGUGAUCGGCCACAUUGGGACUGAGACACGGCCCAGACUCCUACGGGAGGCAGCAGUAGGGAAUAUUGCACAAUGGGCGCAAGCCUGAUGCAGCGACGCCGCGUGGGGGAUGACGGCCUUCGGGUUGUAAACUCCUUUCGACAGGGACGAAGCUUAUGUGACGGUACCUGUAGAAGAAGCACCGGCUAACUACGUGCCAGCAGCCGCGGUAAUACGUAGGGUGCGAGCGUUGUCCGGAAUUACUGGGCGUAAAGAGCUCGUAGGUGGUUUGUCGCGUCGUCUGUGAAAUCCCGGGGCUUAACCUCGGGCGUGCAGGCGAUACGGGCAUAACUUGAGUGCUGUAGGGGAGACUGGAAUUCCUGGUGUAGCGGUGAAAUGCGCAGAUAUCAGGAGGAACACCAAUGGCGAAGGCAGGUCUCUGGGCAGUAACUGACGCUGAGGAGCGAAAGCAUGGGUAGCGAACAGGAUUAGAUACCCUGGUAGUCCAUGCCGUAAACGGUGGGCGCUAGGUGUAGGGGACUUCCACGUCUUCUGUGCCGCAGCUAACGCAUUAAGCGCCCCGCCUGGGGGAGUACGGCCGCAAGGCUAAAACUCAAAGGAAUUGACGGGGGCCGCACAGCGGCGGGAGCAUGKKGAUUAAUUCGAUGCACGCGAAGAACUUACUGGGCUUGAACAU
rnacentral:rRNA from 1 species